CCCACUUCUCUUCCAUGUCGAUGACCAAUUAGACCACGAUCAUCUAAUUUAUAACUAAUCACCCAACACGAUGACACUCGUCUUUGUUCCGCCUGUCAUAAUCUUGAUUCAAACCUCUUCUUCUGCUUCACGAACACAUAUCCUUUCUCAUAUGCUUCGGUUAUUCUCCUCAUAGCCAUAAAUCCAUGAUCUACCCGAAACAAGACUAGAUCUCUGUUCCUGAUACCAAUUGUAAGUUUGGAUUUAGGCUAGAUCUAUAUGUUUGACGAUGGGUAAACAUAACGAGAUGAGAAGGAGUGUAAAGUAAAGAAGAUACAGAGAUUUGUUAACGGGGUUCAGCGAACCUAUAUCCCGGGGAUCUUGUCCAGAAACAAUCCACUAGAAAAUAUCGCAAAUUACAAUUGCUAUAUGGAAUCAACACACACCUAUGUCUAGCACUCUUUUCUACAAGAAGUAUGAAAACAAUAACAACCACAGCAUGCUUGACUACAACCAGCAGCACUGGUGUACCUACGUCUCUUCUGACAAGUGUGAUUUCCAUAGUAAAACCACCAACAGAUCUCUCCAUAUGUCUGGUGAGAUGAUACCAUACACACAUUGUGUACAUCACAGAAUAAAAUCAUAGGCGCGUGAGUUUUUACUGUCACCGCCUUAUCCUAUUUAAGCUCUUCAUAAGCAAACCUUAAUCUCCUCGAGCCCACACUUCACUUCACAAGAAGUUGGCCUUCUCUUUGCCGGCCCAUGUGACUUCUUUUAUGAUCUUGACGCUCACAUAAUAUUUUUCUUCAUACAUGAAUCUUCUCAAUAAAAUUUCAUGCAACAUCAUCACGUCUAUUUUCAUUCCUCUCUCUAGUAACUCUUUAACAACAUAGCUCUUGUAGCACACAAAUUCUUUGUAUAACACAUAAACAACUUUGUUUCUUCAGAAGAUGGUUUUUG
rnacentral:lncRNA from 1 species